UCUAAUAUGGCAGAUAAGUGCAAUGGAUUUAAGCUCCAUAUAUAGAAGUUAAAUCUUCUUAUUAGAA
rnacentral:tRNA from 1 species